ACAUCUGUGGACAGAGAAUUUACCAAAGCAACGUAUUCUGAUUCAGAGCAGAGCCCCAGCCUGGACCAGGAGGAGAGCUGGAGGUACAGCACCUCUCCAGAUGCAGGGGAAGGCCCGGCUCUUGGAGAGGCACAAGGGGGUCAAGACAGGGACAGACCCUUGGCCAGGUCCUUGGCACUUCCCCUGGAGCCCCAUUCUCACUUAUGCCAACGUCACCAAGAGACAGAGGCGCCAGCCCUGGCCACCCCUUUGAAACAGGAUAUGAGGCAGAACUGCUAUUCUGUGUGUGACAUCAGGAGACUUGGCAGGUGAACAGAGUCCCAGCCAGUCUCGUGGAACAGGACCUCAGGAUUUCUGAGUGGUGAUCCCUUUGGCGGCAGAGGCCUCAAAUGACUGUGGUACAGAGAAUGUGCCCACCAGCUGUGUCACCAGGAAAGAUGAUGACCUGGGAUGGAGCGACUGGCCCAGGUGUUAAGGGCUAAUUCUAAAGGAGGACACCUGUCAUUCCUGGGACUCAUUUUGGACAGUUCCAGAAUUUCAAUCAAGGAAAGCUCUGUGUGUGUGUGUUGGGGUGGGGGUGGGCGCUUCUCCUGGAGAGAGGAGUUGGGAACCAACCUCUUCCAUCAAGGUACCUUGGGCAAGGGCCUGGUGCACACUUCCUGGAUAGAUGCAGCCUUCUGGUUUGCACUGUUUACUUCAUUUCCCUAUUCAUAGAAGGAGUUUAUAUAGUUCUCAAAGUGCCCCAGUUUGCUGGGAAAUACCUGCUAAGGGCUUUUGCCCAAAGCCCAUGGGGAAAGCAUGUUUUGGUAUCUUUCUGCACUCUUCCUAUGCAACCCAAACAGUUAUACAUUCCUUUAAAACAAUUUUUCUUUUGUACUUAACACAUUGUUCUAGUGAUUAUGUGAAGAAAAAAUAAGAUGAGAAUAUUAAGAAGAAUGAAGUAGUAGAUCCAGCUUGAUCAGAUCUUAAGACAGAUCACCACCAUCAUGAUAAAAAUUAAACCACAUGAAUGUGCAAAUGCACAAAAGAAAUAGACCUGGAAAAUACUUGGCACCAUGUGACAGGGGACAUAUGGCAGAGGCAAGAUCUCACAGGUACAACUAGGGGAGGGAGGGAGCAAGAGAAUGAGGGAGAGAGAGAGAGACAGAGAGAGAGAGUGACAGCGAGAGACAAAGACAGAGAGACAGAGGAGACAAAGACAGAGACAGAGAGACAGAGAAACACACACACACACAGAAGGAGACACCAAGGAAAGGAGACACCAACAGAGAAACCAGAUAGAAACAAAGUUUAAAAAAUCCUCUGCUCUAAAAUCUAAUUUAUGAACUACUUCGUUACGCGCUUUCAUUUCUAAUCUUCCUGUCCUCAUCAUGAUAGAAUAGUCUUGUAGGUUAUGACUUUUUCUAUUGUAAAUGAAAAGGGAAUUUCCUGGGAAGUGAAUAGUCUUGUUUCAGAUUCUCUCAAGCUUCAGUGCCUCACAAUUAGAGAAUUAAUCAAGAAUGCAAUGAAGUGAAUAAAUGACAUUAUUUACAACUUUGGAUUCUGGUUCCUUCUUUCCUCUUUGGAGAAGAAAUGAGGUUUAAAGAUUCAACUGAAAUGAGUCCCCCUCCUUGUAGGAAAAGAUUCCUCCAGGCCCAUAACUGGGUUGAGCCAUUUCUCUUGAAG
rnacentral:lncRNA from 1 species